CACACACACACACACACACACACACACACACACACACACACACACACACACACACACACACACACCUGUUUGAAUAAACUGCUUUUCAUAUAUUAUUUUCUCUGAUAUUUAGUUCGAAGACAAACAGAAAACCUCCCGGUGUCCGUUGUCAUGGUUUCCUCAUCACAACGUCACGUUCACUCCUACACAUGUACUCCGUGUGGCUCCACACCGUGUUGAACAUUAGACACAUGGACACACACACACACACCAGCUGCUGCUGCUACUAAAGUGGUGCUGAGGCAGACGCACACAAUGUUCCUAAUGCAUAAGCAGGAGUUCUCAAAAUGGUUAGCAUUAGCCAGCUGAAGCUAAACUAGCUCAUCUUAGCUCUCAUAGAACUCUAUUGAUGUGUAGCGUGACAGUUAAAGCUAGUGUAGGAUAUUAGAAAUAAACUGAAGACCCGGUUCAUAAAUUAAUAAAAUGCACCAGAAUUCAGCCAUGACUCUGGAGCUGUGUAAUCAAUAAAGUGAUGACAAUAUUGUAAAACACUGUAAUCAAUAGAAUAAUAUCAAUAUACAGCUGUGAUUGUAUUUGAUGUCAUGUAAUCAACUGAAAUACAUGUAAUACUGUAACAUGUAAUACUUGAUCGCACCACAACUGAUAUUGACUGAGAGACAAUGGAAACCCACCAGCAGUAAAGGUGUGAGAAACCCACCAGCAGUAAAGGUGUGAGAAACCCACCAGCAGACGCUCCCAGAGGUUCCACACUUUACUGCUCUGUAUGAAAACCUGUAGGCGACCAUUGCUCUAGAGUUCGCUGGUGGAGGCAGCAGACGGCACUAUGGGGCCUGUUGACUGCAGAGACCAGCGGCUCCUCAGCUGAGAUGCUCUCUUUUACCACAACACCUUAUUCUUUUUAUUAAAUUCUUUUGAUUAUAACCCUAAAGCGUCUAAUUGAUAGUUAUGAAUAUCUAUGUACUGUAUCAUCUUAUGUAUCAGAUGUAUGUACAUGACCAUAUAGAACUAGUUUAUUAUAUGUGAUCAUUAUAUAUAUUGUUGAUAAUCAGACAUUUGAUCAAUUGAAGCAGUGAAAUGUGGAACAUUCAGAAGUUUAUUAAGCGACAAAUAAAACUGAUGGUAUAUAGUCAGUCUGCAGUGGAGAGGAUCCCACAUCUAUUUUACAGACAAGCAAGACAGAAACAUCCUAAUACAAUAAUAUGAUAGUUGUAUAUAAUACAAAAUAGUAACAUGAGGUGAACUAUCAAGUGUUUUAGUACAGUAGGUACAACUAGAGGUAUAAGUACAGGUUCAUGUCAUAAGAACCAGCAGCAAAUCACACAACUAUUAAUCUCUAAAGUAUGAAGACCCUGUCAGUUUAUAUUUAAAGGAAAGGAAAUAUUUUAUCAUCUCUAAAGUAAUAAGAUGACAGUUAAACUUUGACCUUGUUAGACACUCAUGUUAAUCAUUUCACAUACUACUAUCACAUGGUAUUUAUAUGUGUGUACAUGAAUUAUCUUGUGUUUAUUUUGUUUCUCAAAAAAUAAAAACACAAGGGGCAGUGCUUCCUCUACCAGCAACACUGACGUUUACAUGUCUGCGUACGCAGCCCCCUCUGAAAGCUGUAAACCUCUAAACGUCUGUUUAUUUUACUUCCCGUUGUUUGUUUGCAGGAGGAAAGAGGCAGAGAGAAGCAGGGCUGCUACCGCUAGAGCUAAUGCUGCUAGAGCUAAUGCCAUAGAGAUAAUGCCGCUAGAGCUAAUGCUGCUAGAGCUAAUGCCAUAGAGAUAAUGCCGCUAGAGCUAAUGCCGCUAGAGCUAAUGCCGUAGAGCUAAUGCCGCUAGAGCUAAUGCUGCUAGAGCUAAUGCCGUUGAGCUAAUGCCCGUAGAGCUAAUGCUGCUGAAGAAAAUGCUGCUACUGUUGUGGUGCUCAAAUAUUAAUGCAACUAAUCUAAUGUUAAUGCUGCUUCUUCUAAGGAGCUAAUAAUCAUGCUGCUGUUACUGAUGUUAAUGCUGUGUGUGUGUGUGUGUGUGUGUGUGUGUGAGAGAGAGAUGCCUCGUCAACUGGCAAUCUUUCUUAAUCUAAUUUAAAGCCGUAACACCAGGUGGUCCUCAACUCCGUGUGUAAGCAGUGUGUGUGUGCAGGUUUCUGUAGGCUGGGAUCUAAUAUGUGUGAGUGCAGUGAGACCAGGUGUGAGGCUUCCUCUUCCAUUCAGACACCAAUCAACCGCGGUUGAUAUCCCACCAUGAAAUACUGCUUAUUGGCUAAUUUGUGUGUGUGUGUGUGUGUACACCACUGCCAGAGCAAUGUUAACAGUUUAAAUGAGUGAAUUCAUGCUCCUUCUCACAGCACCCAACCAAUCAAUGGCCUCGCCCUGCGCUGAAAGAGCGAUGUGAUUGGACGGGAGUUCACUGCGAUAAUCAGAUUCAGAACCAUUUGUUUGCCGAGUAUGUUGGACAUACAAGGAAUUUGUCAUGGCGGGUAGUGCACACAUGACAUUGGACAAGACAAUCAUUUACAAUUAAAUCAAUAUAAUAGAAAUAUAGAAAAAAAGUACACGUAAAGUUAUUUAUUUUGAAAUAAAGCACCAAGUUUAGUUCAACAUCUCUCAAAAGAAGAAACCUCGUCCGACGCCUACGAGAGACGUUGUUUCUGUAAACUCUUGUUUAAGGACGUUCUCAAACGGUUCCAACCAGCUAAGUAGUUCCACAUCUACCAGCCAUAAAGACAGUGAAGCCUCUCGCUUUAUUUAAUUGACUGUUUGGACCAUUGUCAGAACGUUGAGAAGUUUUAGCUUCUCCGUUUGUUUUCACAUGACGGCACGUCUCAGAUGAAUCAAUCUGACUUCAUGGAUUAACUGAGGACCUGAGAAUCGGUUUCCAACAGAACCUGGUUCAAAUGAACGGUUUAUUUCUGGAGGGAUUUAGAAUACAUUUGUUUGUGAUGAAACAUUACAAUUUAACCCUUCAUUGCUAGGGCAGUGAAUAAUGGGAUGCUCCAGCGUUGGAAAUACACAAGGGCAAAGGGAAAAAUUGCCCCCAACAAAUAUUAUUUCCCCCCCCCCAAUAUUACGAGGAGAGGGGCAAAAAAUGCCCCCAUAAUCUCCUCCAACAAUAAUUACAAUUUAGUUAAAUUGUCAAAAACAUCAAAGCUGUAAUAACCCGGUCCAGUUGUCAUAGAAUGUUUUUGAUUCUCGUCUUGACGGAAAGAAUCAAACGUUCUUAAAUAAAUUUAAAAGUAGUGCUUCUUAUCAAGGGGAGCGAAGACAUUAAGAAAUACGUCACCAGGCGACUGACGUUAGCUAACAUCCCAUACGCGAGCCAACGUUAGGUAACGUCACACAGAAGCUCUGUCACGUUAGCAAACGUCACACAGAGCCUCUGACGUUAGCUAACGUCAGAGGCUCUGUCGCAACAUGCGUAAGAGCCAAAUAUCCCAGAAUGCAUUUCACCUCAGCAACAGGCAACAACGACGUAGGAAAAUAAACAAACUGUCAAAGUUUAUAAAUACUAAUAUAUUUAAGUCACAGAAUGUAGUUUUAGGACUUUUUCAGACGAGAAGUUAGUUGUUUAAGCAGCAUUUCUACGGUCGGUUUGUCAACAUUCAGCCUUCGUAACGAUUUGGUCCAGGAUGGGAGAUGUGAGGUGUAGUUAACGUGUGACCCCUCCGGCGCCGCUCAUCUCAGCCCGCAGAGAGCAGCCAGUUCUCUGCAAGUCUUCUGUGAAAUGCUGGUUUUUACGUCUCCGUACCGGUUAUACAUGAGCUAUAACUAUACAAUAACUGGGCUGCGUCUUCAUAACUUUUAAUGUGGUAACGUUACGUCUGUUUGAGGACAGAGUUAAAAUUCAUAACUUCAUGUUUAAAUUGAAGCAUAGUGUGCAGGCUUGUUAUAGUCUAUCAUUGUUCAUUCGGUCUGUGAGCCACUUGGUACCGGGCCGCACCACAGAAGGAAUAUGUAUAUUUAUUUUCUGAAAAAUGUUUUAAUUUGAAUAUAUCGUCCUCUUACCUCUUGCGCGCAACUACCACCAUAUCGUAGAUAUUACAUACUAUGACGUUAAUCACAAAUGAUGUCAUCCGUCUUACAGUGUAUAGCCUCAUUGAUCACCAUAUUAUAUACAUAACAUACUAUUACGUAAUGUGGAGACACAGAAGAGGUUCAGGUACAUCGGCAAUGUGAUUUAUAGUGCUGUUUGUGCGUUUAACUGUACGAGGACCAUCACACUGAUCAUCGGCCUCUUGGUGUUUGAGUAACAAGAAGACAAACGGUAGGUGUGUGUAAGUGGAAUGUGUUACUAUCCAAUAAAAUACUGUUUAAUUGUUCUUACUGUAUCCAACCUCGUCUUACUUUGAUGAAAGUAUGAAACCAUUAGAACGCUAAUGCAGUGUGAUGUUCCCGAUUCUUGAUGUAAUACAAAAGCCCUGAAUUAAAUGUUCACCUCAGUAACGUUUGUAUGUUGUUCUUCCAUCCAAUAUGAAUACAAAGUAGAUAUAAACCUGUCAGUGUGAUCCAGUAAAGAACUACAGCUGCUCCUCUUCAUCUCCUUUAGAAAGAUGUUUGACUGUUUAACAACUGUGAUCUGAUCCAUUGAGAUAUUUGGCCUUAUUAUUUUUUGACUGAUAUAUAUUUACUCUGGUGCUCCAUUUUAUAAAUACACCAUUUCUAAUCCAAAAUGAAAACACAACAAAAGCUUGAUAACAGUAAAAUACUUAAGUCAAGAACUGUAUUGAAAUGUAUUAGCAAGACCAGCUGACGCGGUGACUCAUCUAGUCAGCUGUUGUUCAUAUUGCGGAAAUGACUGUUCUCGGUUCUCCUGUAACGUUAGUCAGGACUCCCGAGUCUGUCCUCCGUUGUCGCCGUCUUGGUGGUAUUGAGAAAGGGCCUGAGUGUACAUAGUCGGUGAGAGAUGUCUCACUCGGAUGCAAAGACAGCGUUCUGCUGAAUGUUCAAGCGGUUUGAAUCUGUAGACUACUGCCUAAUAGUCUCAUUGCUGCCAUUUGAUGAAAAAUGCAUAUACAGGAAGGCCAAUUAAGGACAUUUAUUAUUAAUAUUAAUAGAGGUUAAAUGUCCAUCCAUCCAUCAUCAAACCGCUUAUCCUGCACACAGGUCUACAGGAGGAGGAAGCCAAGCGGAGAGAGGAACAGGUGCAGGCCUCUCCUCAAAAUAAUCAAUAUGAUAUGAAUCUCAAUCAGAGGACUCAUUUCCCUCUCUGGCACGGAGCAUCUGAUCCCAGACAAGAAGAAGCUUGGUUACUGUUGAAUUAUUCCUUGACAUGUCAUCAGCCAAUCAGGGAUAAGAGCACUAUGAAGGAGGCAGCUGAUUGGCUGACUUAUAUACACUGAUUCACUUUGUGCUAGUGGAGGAGAGAACAGGGAGGAUAUGUCCUUUCAUACAAAAAAGAAAACUGAUUGGCCGGCUGAGACGUGUUUGAGGUGAGGUCAGUGUAGCGUGUCUCCUCCCUCAGGCCUGUUUGUUUAGGACUCAGCGCGCGCACACACACACACACACACACACACACACUUCCUGUCGCCUCGUUCUCUCCUUACAUGCUGAUGACAUCACCCUCUCUGUACGCAAUCAGCUGUCAGAUGAGCUGAUACAAGAAGAAGAAGAGGAGAUAUGAAAAGAAGGGCUGCUGUUGCCACAGUAACUGCUACUACGAGAAAUGCUGCUAUUGCUACAAUGGCAACUGUUGAGAUGUUCAAGAACUGCAUUAGCAUUAGUAGCUCCACCCGGCUACGUGUUCUCAGAGAGUAGUUAGCAUUAGUAGCUCCAACCAGCUGCAUGUUCUCAGAGAGUAGAGUUAGCAUUAGUAGCUCCACCCGGCUACGUGUUCUUAGAGAGUGGAGUUAGCAUUAGUAGCUCCACCCGGCUACGUGUUCUCAGAGAGUAGGGUUAGCAUUAGUAGCUCCACCCGGCUACGUGUUCUCAGAGAGUAGGGUUAGCAUUAGUAGCUCCACCCGGCUGCAUGUUCUCGAAGAGUGGAGUUAGCAUUAGUAGCUCCACCCGGCUACGUGUUCUCAGAGAGUAGUUAUCAUUAGUAGCUCCACCCGGCUGCGUGUUCUCAGAGAGUAGAGUUAGCAUUAGUAGCUCCACCCAGCUACGUGUUCUCAGAGAGUGGAGUUAGCAUUAGUAGCUCCACCCAGCUACGUGUUCUCAGAGAGUGGAGUUAGCAUUAGUAGCUCCACCCGGCUACGUGUUCUCAGAGAGUGGAGUUAGCAUUAGUAGCUCCACCCAGCUACGUGUUCUCAGAGAGUGGAGUUAGCAUUAGUAGCUCCGUCCUGAUCUGACCUUUGAGUCAGGAACCCACAGCCAGUUUAGCUCUUCCUAUAAGAAGCAGGGUGGAGCUGCAGCUCAGAUGUUAACCUUCUAACCACGCCGGGGUUUCUCUGUGGGUGGUCGCACCAACUAAAAGUCCCUCUGUGGCUUCUGGUUUCAGGUCCACAAUUAUUUCCUGUUUAGUCCACAGACCGCCUCAGUAAGAGCUGGACAUCUGGCUGUAACAGCCUAAAUGCCUGCUGACAUUCGGGGAGCAAAUACGUGGUCUUUGGGGGUCUCUGAGGGUCUGUAGAUAAACUGGAGCUUCACUAUGAUUUAACCCUAAAAUAUAGAAGAAACCCAGAAGCGUUUUUCCCAUUUGAGAAGAAACGCUUGAGUCCAGAUUCCACCAGAGAAAUGAAUCAAACCCUCCUUAUUGUAUUCAACAAGCAUCAAAACCUGGCGAGUAGCUAUGAGAGGAGAUAGAAGGGGAAGGAAGACAGUCUCUGCCGUCUGUCUGUGAUGAUGACUUAAAAGGUCAUGCGGGCCGACGGGGAUUUAAUUUAUUGAGGACGGAGGCGGACCGUCCCAUUUCAGAGGCCGCUCGGUUCAGCCUAUGCGGUUGUUGGAGGACCAGCCCGGGUCUACCGCCAAGCCCGGAGGCUACAAGGAUGCAGCCUAGCGACUUUGAGACACGGCUGCUCUCUGCUCCUCAGCGCUUCAGAUCAACUCUCUCUCCCAACACCAGAUCAAUAGACUGGGAUUACUGAUACAGUUACUACAACCAGACGCAGGAUCCACUGGGAUCUACCAGGAAACAGAAGAAGGACAACCUCAAGUCAUUGGCCCUUUCUCAAUAUGCGUUCUUGGGUGUUCUCAUGUCCUUGUGGACUAAUCACAGCUGAGUACUGUUCCAAUCUAAAGUCCGAGAACGGUCAUAAAACCCGGAUGUGACUCGCACCCCCCCCACUUUACCCAGAAUGCAUCGGAGUAGAAUUGUCUGUUCUUGCGAGAGCCAAAUAUCCCAGAAUGCAUUUCACCUCAGCAACAAGCAAUAAUGGCAUACUACUAACGUUAGUUAGUCACGGAAUGUCAUGUUAGGACUUUUUCAGACGAGAAGUUAGUUGUUUAAUCAAAAAUUCUGUCGUUGGUUUGUCAACAUUCAGCCUUCUUCUCAGCUCCAGGAUGCGGGAGAUGGUGGUGUAGUUAACGGCACCGUCAGACCUCUCCAUGCAUGUAUGUAUACACAGGCCAGGAGACAAACCCCAGAGGUGGAGGUGAAACAGGAAGCGCUGCAGAAGAAGAAGCCUACCUUCUUCAGCUGUCCGCUGCGCGUGCCCACAAACACCACCGUGUGCUCGCCGUAGGUGUAGGCCGCCACGGCGCCCAUGCCCUCGGUCCGGUCCUCGUAGAGCGGGCUCCCCUCGAUGACCCGCAGCCCCCCCAGAGGCUGGUUCAGGACCAGCCCGCAGAAAUCAUCCCCGAUCUGCUUCGGCUGGGGGGUUUAUUAAGUCAUAUAUUAAUAAGGAUUAAAUCACACCUUUAACAACAGAACAAAGGAGACGAAGAACGAGGAGAUACUACCUUCAUUUAAUGGACACCACUAGUGACUAAAACACACAUGUUGUGAAGACAGACAGAGACAGACAGAGGGACAGGCCUGGAUGUGCGAUAACGUCUGAUAAACGUCCACCACCAGUUCAUCUGAUGGGUGGAGAACCUUCUCACCGUGUGGAUGCAGGGCAGCUCCUUGUUGAGUAACCACGGCAACGAGAGUCGGCCCUCCCCCCGAUAACAGGAGCGGAUCCUCUCCCUCAUCGCCAGGUUGAUGUGCUGCAGGGUGAACAGGCACAGGACCGUCUCCCUGGGCGGGUUGGACCGGUUCUUCUGACCCUGAAACACAGGGAGAGAGGCGAGGGUUCAAGUCCCUGAGGCAAGGGGGAGGACACAGGGGAGACGGCAGGAGGACAAAACAGAAACCGAAAAAGAGAAAACCCACGUGAAACUGGGAAUUGAGGUGUGACUGUCUCCCCCCUCGUCCCCCUCACCCCCUACCUCCUCUCACCUGGGAGAAGACGACGAACAGGACGUCGUCUUCCUCGGAGAGGCCCAGGGCCUGUGCCAGGCGGCGCCCUGGUUUCUGCCUGAAGGCGGCCUGCACCAGGCGGUACUCCACCCCGUCCUUGGUGCAGCCCAGAGGGAACUCCACGUAGGAGUAGAACUCUGUGUCGUUGGAGCACAUGCGAACUAUCUUGGAGGUGAAGAACUUCUCUCCGCCGGCGUCCAUCUGCGUGAGCUGCGUGUCCAGCUGCAGCGUGAGGAAGUAGACGUAGGUGCGGCUGGAGAAGCCGUAGACGUAGUAGAUGUCGAAGGCCGGGUAGAGGGACAGCGUGUCCGAGGGAAUCUUGAUCUGCGAGGAGACAAACUCGUCCUGGUAGACCAGCGAGAACAUGUUGACGCUCUCCUCGUCCGCCACCAGCUUCCUGCUGGACAGCGUGGGGAAGUACUCCGACUUGCCGUCAAUGGCGGCGCCGAUGAAGAGGCGGCUGCCGCCCUUGGCUGGCCUCUUCCUCUUUGGGUCGGCCGCCCAGUCGUCCUCACCAACAACCACGCCUGAGGAGGAGGGGCGGGGCGUUCAUGACACAGGUCCUCAGCUGAUCGACAGGUCUUUCGCUCAAGGUAAAUUAACGUAGUUUUAACUGUUAACCUACGCAGUGACGCCUGCACUGAAUCAGCAUUAGCUCGUUAGCUCCCAGGCAUUGAAUGUUAGCAUGUUUCUUUAAGAGGAUUUCAUUAGAUUUAUGACUUCAGUGACUGCUGGUCUUAAAUGUCCUUUUAGGCCUGUGUCUUGAUUUCCCGCCUGACCAGGUGCACCUUACCUGCCAUCCCAUCAGCCUCUCUGGCUCCAGACAGGUAGUGCUCUUUGCGGUGGUGAGGCUCCCCCAGCUUGAAGAGGUCCUCCAGCCUGAGGAACUGACAGACGCCCUGCCAGAUGGAGCCGCACGCCACCAGUCGGUUCCCAGUAUAAUCCACCAGUAAGAGCUUGUUCACGUUAUCGGACGAGUCCAGCCUGAGGACAGAGACAGACAGGCGGGACAUUAGACAGAUGAGCAGCCAGAGGGAAGAGACUGAAGAGUACGGCUGUCACCAAAUCAAACCUUCGUUGUGCGAUUAUUGCACCAACAUUUAAUGCGAUAAACGAACCAUUUUAUGCCACUGAUGUCAACAUAAUGACAAUAUAAUAAUAAUCAGAAUAGUUAGACAUUGGUAUCGGAAUGUGAAAAAAUAUAUCCUACGUGAAUAAAACUAAAAAAUAAAUGGGGACACGGAGCGGGUGACGCAUCGGGCGACGCAUCGGGCGGAGCAUUGGGCGGAGCAUUGGGCG
ensembl:lncRNA